rnacentral:rRNA from 1 species
CGUGCAGGCGGGUUGGUAAGUCAGAUGUGAAAGCCCUGGGCUCAACCCAGGAAGUGCAUUUGAAACUGCCAUCCUUGAGUAUGGGGGAGGAGAGUGGAAUUCCCAAUGUAGAGGUGAAAUUCGUAGAUAUUGGGAGGAACACCCGUGGCGAAGGCGACUCUCUGGACCAAUACUGACGCUGAGACGCGAAAGCGUGGGGAGCAAACAGGAUUAGAUACCCUGGUAGUCC